rnacentral:rRNA from 1 species
UACGGAGGGGGCUAGCGUUGUUCGGAAUUACUGGGCGUAAAGCGCGCGUAGGCGGAUCUGCAAGUCGGGGGUGAAAUCCCGAGGCUCAACCUCGGAACUGCCUUCGAUACUGCGGGUCUCGAGUCCGGGAGAGGUGAGUGGAAUUCCUAGUGUAGAGGUGAAAUGCGCAGAUAUCAGGAGGAACACCGGUGGCGAAGGCGGAUCUCUGGGCCUUACCUGACGCUGAGGCGACGGAAGGCUAGGGGAGCGAACAGG